rnacentral:sRNA from 1 species
AAUUAGCCCCGAUUGAAGUGGAAAUCCUUUUGUCCACCCCGGCGGACAAAAGAUUGCAACGAAAAGCGGGAACGAUG